rnacentral:rRNA from 1 species
AACGAACGCUGGCGGCAUGCCUAACACAUGCAAGUCGAACGAGACCUUCGGGUCUAGUGGCGCACGUGUGCGUAACGCGUGGGAACCUGCCCUUAGGUUCGGAAUAACUCCCCGAAAGGGGUGCUAAUACCGGAUAAUGUCUUCGGACCAAAGAUUUAUCGCCUUUGGAUGGGCCCGCGUUGGAUUAGCUAGUUGGUAGGGUAAAAGCCUACCAAGGCGACGAUCCAUAGCUGGUCUGAGAGGAUGAUCAGCCACACUGGGACUGAGACACGGCCCAGACUCCUACGGGAGGCAGCAGUGGGGAAUAUUGGACAAUGGGCGAAAGCCGGAUCCAGCAAUGCCGCGUGAGUGAUGAAGGCCUUAGGGUUGUAAAGCUCUUUUACCCGGGAUGAUAAUGACAGUACCGGGAGAAUAAGCUCCGGCUAACU